GGAUGGCCUAGAGUCUGGAGCUGCAGAAGAGGCAGGGCGGAGAGGAGGGGAAAGAAGCAUCUGAACGGCUAAAUUGUGCCAGCAGCGCUGAGAGCGAGAGUCGCGAGACCGUGCUGAGGACGUGGUUGUCUGUCCUUCCCCCGGGGAUGCCGUUGACUGCGGCCGUCUCAGGCUUGCGUGGCUUCUCUCUGCCCGGUGUUGCCAUCCUCGCAGCGCGGGGGCGAAAAGGGACACACAGAGCCCUUCCCGGCUGUGGACAGGAGCUGCCUCGGCUGAAGCUGGAGACGCCAACGAAAGGUGGAGGACGGCCUAGAGUCUGGAGCUGCAGAAGAGGCAGGGCGGAGAGGAGGGGAAAGAAGCAUCUGAACGGCUAAAUUGUGCCAGCAGUGC